AUUGAACGCUGGCGGCAUGCCUUACACAUGCAAGUCGAACGGCAGCACGGGAGCAAUCCUGGUGGCGAGUGGCGAACGGGUGAGUAAUAUAUCGGAACGUGCCCGGUCGUGGGGAUAACGUAGCGAAAGCUACGCUAAUACCGCAUACGAUCUACGGAUGAAAGCGGGGGAUCGCAAGACCUCGCGCGAUUGGAGCGGCCGAUAUCAGAUUAGGUAGUUGGUGAGGUAAAGGCUCACCAAGCCGACGAUCUGUAGCUGGUCUGAGAGGACGACCAGCCACACUGGGACUGAGACACGGCCCAGACUCCUACGGGAGCAGCAGUGGGAUUUGGACAAGUGGGCGCAAGCCUGAUCCAGCAAUGCCGCGUGCAGGAU
rnacentral:rRNA from 1 species